rfam:Operophtera brumata OBRT01_Sc01404, whole genome shotgun sequence.
UCAUAGGCUCUUUUUAGAGCCACAUUAAAUGUUAUUCGUUUAAAAA